UGUGUGUUAGUGGAACGGUCUGGAAAGUCCGACGGUACAGGGUGAUAGUCCCGUACACCAAAAUGCACAGGUUGUGAACUCGAAGAGUAGGGCGGGACACGUGGUAUCCUGUCUGAAUAUGGGGGGACCAUCCUCCAAGGCUAAAUACUCCUGACUGACCGAUAGUGAACCAGUACCGUGAGGGAAAGGCGAAAAGAACCCCGGCGAGGGGAGUGAAAAAGAACCUGAAACCGUGUACGUACAAGCAGUGGGAGCACCUUCGGGUGUGACUGCGUACCUUUUGUAUAAUGGGUCAGCGACUUAUAUUCUGUAGCAAGGUUAACCGUAUAGGGGAGCCGCAGGGAAACCGAGUCUUAACUGGGCGUUAAGUUGCAGGGUAUAGACCCGAAACCCGGUGAUCUAGCCAUGGGCAGGUUGAAGGUUGGGUAACACUAACUGGAGGACCGAACCGACUAAUGUUGAAAAAUUAGCGGAUGACUUGUGGCUGGGGGUGAAAGGCCAAUCAAACCGGGAGAUAGCUGGUUCUCCCCGAAAGCUAUUUAGGUAGCGCCUCGUGAACUCAUCUUCGGGGGUAGAGCACUGUUUCGGCUAGGGGGUCAUCCCGACUUACCAACCCGAUGCAAACUACGAAUACCGAAGAAUGUUAUCACGGGAGACACACGGCGGGUGCUAACGUCCGUCGUGAAGAGGGAAACAACCCAGACCGCCAGCUAAGGUCCCAAAGUCAUGGUUAAGUGGGAAACGAUGUGGGAAGGCACAGACAGCCAGGAUGUUGGCUUAGAAGCAGCCAUCAUUUAAAGAAAGCGUAAUAGCUCACUGGUCGAGUCGGCCUGCGCGGAAGAUGUAACGGGGCUAAACCAUGCACCGAAGCUGCGGCAGCGACACUAUGUGUUGUUGGGUAGGGGAGCG
rnacentral:rRNA from 1 species